GAUGAUGCUGGCGGGAGGCCUAACACAUGCAAGUCGAACGGUAACAGGAAGCAGCUUGCUGCUUUGCUGACGAGUGGCGGACGGGUGAGUAAUGUCUGGGAAACUGCCUGAUGGAGGGGGAUAACUACUGGAAACGGUAGCUAAUACCGCAUAACGUCGCAAGACCAAAGAGGGGGACCUUCGGGCCUCUUGCCAUCGGAUGUGCCCAGAUGGGAUUAGCUUGUUGGUGGGGUAACGGCUCACCUAGGCGACGAUCCCUAGCUGGUCUGAGAGGAUGACCAGCCACACUGGAACUGAGACACGGUCCAGACUCCUACGGGAGGCAGCAGUGGGGAAUAUUGCACAAUGGGCGCAAGCCUGAUGCAGCCAUGCCGCGUGUAUGAAGAAGGCCUUCGGGU
rnacentral:rRNA from 1 species